rnacentral:rRNA from 1 species
AGAGUUUGAUCAUGGCUCAGAUUGAACGCUGGCGGCAUGCUUUACACAUGCAAGUCGAGCGGCAGCGCGGGGCAACCUGGCGGCGAGCGGCGAACGGGUGAGUAAUAGAUAGGAACGUAUCCGGGAGUGGGGGAUAACUAGCCGAAAGGUUAGCUAAUACCGCAUAUUCUCCGAGGAGGAAAGCGGGGGACUCGUAAGAGCCUCGCGCUCGCGGAGUGGCCUAUCUCCGAUUAGCUAGUUGGUGAGGUAAAGGCUCACCAAGGCGACGAUCGGUAGCUGGUCUGAGAGGAUGAUCAGCCACACUGGGACUGAGACACGGCCCAGACUCCUACGGGAGGCAGCAGUGGGGAAUUUUGGACAAUGGGGGCAACCCUGAUCCAGCCAUGCCGCGUGCGGGAAGAAGGCCUUCGGGUUGUAAACCGCUUUUAUUCGGAAAGAAGGAGUGGAGGUUAAUACCUUCCAUGACAGACGGUACCGGAUGAAUAAGCACCGGCUAACUACGUGCCAGCAGCCGCGGUAAUACGUAGGGUGCGAGCGUUAAUCGGAAUUACUGGGCGUAAAGCGUGCGCAGGCGGUUCUGAAAGUCAGCUGUGAAAGCCCCGGGCUUAACCUGGGAAUGGCGGUUGAAACUACAGGACUAGAAUCUGGCAGAGGGGGGUGGAAUUCCACGUAGCAGUGAAAUGCGUAGAGAUGUGGAGGAACACCGAUGGCGAAGGCAGCCCCCUGGGCUGAGAUUGACGCUCAGGCACGAAAGCGUGGGGAGCAAACAGGAUUAGAUACCCUAGUAGUCC